AUUGAACGCUGGCGGCAAGCCUAACACAUGCAAGUCGAACGAGUGGCGGACGGGUGAGUAAUGUCUGGGAAACUGCCUGAUGGAGGGGGAUCACUACUGGAAACGGUAGCUAAUACCGCAUACCAUCGGAUGUGCCCAGAUGGGAUUAGCUAGUAGGUGGGGGAAAGGCUGACCUGGGUGACGAUCCCUAGCUGGUCUGAGAGGAUGACCAGCCACACUGUAACUGAGACACGUUCCAGAAUCCUACGGGAGGCAGCAGUGGGGAAGAUUGCACAAUGGGCGCAAGCCUGAUGCAGCCAUGCCGGGUGGAUGAAGAAGGCCUUCGGGUUGUAAAGUACUUUCAGCGGGGAGGCGUUACCCGCAGAAGAAGCACCGGCUAACUCCGGGCCAGCAGCCGCGGUAAUAC
rnacentral:rRNA from 1 species